GGCCUCCCUCUGUGGGGUGAUCGAUUAUGGGGCACCCAGAUUGAUCGCCUCACAGAGGGAGGUC
rnacentral:pre_miRNA from 1 species